rnacentral:rRNA from 1 species
UGGUAGUGUAUUGGACUACCAUGGCUUUAACGGGUAACGGAGGAUUAGGGUUCGAUUCCGGAGAGGGAGCCUGAGAAACGGCUACCACAUCUAAGGAAGGCAGCAGGCGCGUAAAUUACCCAAUCCUGACUCAGGGAGGUAGUGACAAGAUAUAACAACGCGACCAAAAUCGCGAUUGUAGUGAGGGUAUUCCAAACCGAACUUCGAGUACGAUUGGAGGGCAAGUCUGGUGCCAGCAGCCGCGGUAAUUCCAGCUCCAAUAGCAUAUAUUAAAGUUGUUGCAGUUAAAAAGCUCGUAGUUGGAUUUCUGGAGGGGUGCCGAAGUCCGCACGAUUGCGUGUGCUGAGGCGCCCUUCCAUCCUUCUGUUAACGUUUCUUGGUAUUCAGUUACUGGUUUCGGGCUCAGAUAUUUUACCUUGAGAAAAUUAGAGUGUUCCAGGCAGGCUUGCGCCGGAAUACAUUAGCAUGGAAUAAUAGAAUAGGACUUUAGUCUCCUUUGUUGGUUUGAGGGACUGAAGUAAUGAUUAAUAGGGAUAGUUGGGGGCAUUAGUAUUUAAUUGUCAGAGGUGAAAUUCUCGGAUUUGUUAAAGACUAACUUAUGCGAAAGCAUUUGCCAAGGAUGUUU